GGGGGUGUGGCUCAGUGAUAGAGCACUCACCUAGCAAGUGCAAGGCCCUGGGUUUGAUCCUCAGCACCACAU
rnacentral:tRNA from 1 species